rnacentral:hammerhead_ribozyme from 1 species
UUACAGCUGACAAGUCUCAAAUAGGACGAAACGCAUGUCCUGGAU